UACGGGGGGGGCAAGCGUUGUUCGGAAUUACUGGGCGUAAGGGCUCGUAGGCGGCCAACUAAGUCAGACGUGAAAUCCCUCGGCUUAACCGGGGAACUGCGUCUGAUACUGGAUGGCUUGAGAUUGGGAGAGGGAUGCGGAAUUCCAGGUGUAGCGGUGAAAUGCGUAGAUAUCUGGAGGAACACCGGUGGCGAAGGCGGCAGUCCUGGACCAACACUGACGCUGAUGCGCGAAAGCGUGGG
rnacentral:rRNA from 1 species